UGUCGCAGAUGACUUUCGCCC
rnacentral:miRNA from 2 species